rnacentral:rRNA from 1 species
GGGGCAUCCCGGUGCCGCCAAAGGGAUUACCGGUGGCGGAUGGGCAUGCGGCGCAUUAGCUAGUCGGCGGGGUAACGGCCCACCGAGGCGACGAUGCGUAGGGGUUCUGAGAGGAAGGUCCCCCACACUGGUACUGAGACACGGACCAGACUCCUACGGGAGGCAGCAGUGAGGAAUAUUGGUCAAUGGGCGCGAGCCUGAACCAGCCAAGUCGCGUGAGGGAUGACGGUCCUACGGAUUGUAAACCUCUUUUGCCGGGGAGCAAGCGUGCGUUCGUGAACGCGCGUCGAGAGUACCCGGAGAAAAAGCAUCGGCUAACUCCGUGCCAGCAGCCGCGGUAAUACGGAGGAUGCGAGCGUUAUCCGGAUUUAUUGGGUUUAAAGGGUGCGUAGGCGGGAUGCCAAGUCAGCGGUAAAAAUGCGGUGCUCAACGCCGUCGAGCCGUUGAAACUGGCGUUCUUGAGUGGGCGAGAAGUAUGCGGAAUGCGUGGUGUAGCGGUGAAAUGCAUAGAUAUCACGCAGAACUCCGAUUGCGAAGGCAGCAUACCGGCGCCCUACUGACGCUGAGGCACGAAAGCGUGGGUAUCGAACAGGAUUAGAUACCCUGGUAGUCCACGCAGUAAACGAUGAAUGCUGACUGUCCGGCUCGAAUGAGCGCUGGGCGGUUGAGCGAAAGC